CCCUUGCCUGUGUGCAGGGGGGAUGAUUUUUUUUAAUGAUACAGAGAAGAUUAGCAUGGCCCCUGCACAAGGAUGACAUGCAAAUUCGUGAAGCAUUCCAUAUUUUU
rnacentral:snRNA from 1 species